rnacentral:tmRNA from 1 species
GGGCUUUAAUCCAAGCAAGAUAUGAUAUAUAUUAAAGAUGUUGCGCAAGCAACUAUGGCGAUAAAUACUUUGUGUAAUAAACAUUGCGGACCCGGGGGCAGUACCCGGCGCCUCCACCAUAAAGCCUUUUAUAUGGGGGCGAAAUAGGUUUGACGGAUGUGGUAAAGACAAAGCGUUUGCCCGGCAUUGUACCGCCGUUAUCGGGCUACUUUAAAAAUGCCAACGACAAUCAUAGUCUGGCUGUAGCUGCCUAAUUGAAAGGCAAGCGCGCGGUUCUGGAAGGGCACCGGGCAACAGAAGCCCUUCCGCU